rnacentral:rRNA from 1 species
GUGAGGAAUAUUGGGCAAUGGGCGAAAGCCUGACCCAGCCACGCCGCGUGAGUGAUGAAGGCCUUCGGGUUGUAAAGCUCUGUGGGGAGGGAAGAAAAAGCGCAGGAGUAACUGCCUGUGUGUUGACGGUACCUCCUUAGCAAGCACCGGCUAACUCUGUGCCAGCAGCCGCGGUAAUACAGAGGGUGCAAACGUUGCUCGGAAUUACUGGGCGUAAAGCGCGUGUAGGCUGACAUGCAAGUCGGGUGUGAAAUCCCAGGGCUCAACCUUGGAACUGCACUCGAAACUGCACGUCUUGAGUACUGGAGAGGGAAGCGGAAUUCCGGGUGUAGAGGUGAAAUUCGUAGAUAUCCGGAGGAACACCAGUGGCGAAGGCGGCUUCCUGGACAGUAACUGACGCUGAGACGCGAAAGCGUGGGGAGCAAACAGGAUUAGAUACCCGUGUAGUUC